rnacentral:rRNA from 1 species
AGUGAACGCUGGCGGUAGGCCUAACACAUGCAAGUCGAACGGCAGCACAGUAAGAGCUUGCUCUUACGGGUGGCGAGUGGCGGACGGGUGAGGAAUAUAUCGGAAUCUACUUUUUCGUGGGGGAUAACGUAGGGAAACUUACGCUAAUACCGCAUACGACCUACGGGUGAAAGCAGGGGAUCUUCGGACCUUGCGCGAAUGAAUGAGCCGAUGUCGGAUUAGCUAGUUGGCGGGGUAAAGGCCCACCAAGGCGACGAUCCGUAGCUGGUCUGAGAGGAUGAACAGCCACACAGGAACUGAGACACGGCCCAGACACCUACGGGAGGCAGCAGUGGGGAAUGUUGGACAAUGGGCGCAAGCCUGAUCCAGCCAUACCGCGUGGGUGAAGAAGGCCUUCGGGUUGUAAAGCCCUUUUGUGGGGAAAGAAAAGCAGCAGGUUAAUACCCCGCUGUUCUGACGGUACCCAAAGAAUAAGCACCGGCUAACUUCGU